GAUGAAGAACGUAGCGAAAUGCGAUACUUGGUGUGAAUUGCAGAAUCCCGUGAAUCAUCGAGUCUUUGAACGCAAGUUGCGCCCGAAGCCACUAGGCCGAGGGCACGCCUGCCUGGGCGUCACACGUCGUUGCCCCCCCCCCAUCUACUCCUUCGGGCUUGCGGGGGGCGGAUGAUGGCCUCCCGUGCGCCUAGCCGCGCGGUUGGCAUAAAUACCAAGUCCUCGGCGACGCACGCCACGACAAUCGGUGGUUGCGAAACCUCGGUUGCCCGUCGUGUGCGUUCGUCGCGCAUCGAGGGCUCGAAAAAAUGCUCGGCUCCGGCUCGGCUUUCAACGCGACCCCAGGUCAGGCGGGGUUACCCGCUGAAUUUAAGCAUAUCAAUAAGCGGAGGA
rnacentral:misc_RNA from 1 species